rnacentral:misc_RNA from 1 species
CUAGUGUCGGCUCCUCUCAAAUGGAUCAGCUUCCCAGUGUUUGGUGGCGUCACAGGUGUGAUAACUAUCUACGCUUGUGGUUUUCUGCCAUUAACCUUCAGCAAUGGAGGUUCGCUGGAGCUCACAGAUGUCUUCCCUUGGGGAGGACAGCUUCUUGAACGUCUGAUCUCAAAUCAGGUAGGACUACCCGCUGAACUUAA